rnacentral:tRNA from 2 species
UAGGAAGUGGUGUAGUGGAAGCACUGGGAGUUUUGAUCUCCCGAGGUAGGGUUCGACCCCCUUCUUUCUAA